UAAGUUANAGCCCGCUGGAUUGGGUGUAUAUWUGUUAAUUAAGAUUUUACGGGAUCGAGGCCCGUUAGCCUAU
rnacentral:tRNA from 1 species